UGAGGAAUAUUGGUCAAUGGGCGAGAGCCUGAACCAGCCAAGUAGCGUGCAGGAUGACGGCCCUAUGGGUUGUAAACUGCUUUUAUGUGGGGAUAAAGUGCGUGACGUGUCAUGCAUUGCAGGUACCACAUGAAUAAGGACCGGCUAAUUCCGUGCCAGCAGCCGCGGUAAUACGGAAGGUCCGGGCGUUAUCCGGAUUUAUUGGGUUUAAAGGGAGCGUAGGCUGUCUAUUAAGCGUGUUGUGAAAUUUACCGGCUCAACCGGUGGCUUGCAGCGCGAACUGGUCGACUUGAGUAUGCAGGAAGUAGGCGGAAUUCAUGGUGUAGCGGUGAAAUGCUUAGAUAUCAUGACAAACUCCGAUUGGGCAGGCAGCUUACUGUAGCAUAACUGACGCUGAUGCUCGAAAGGGCGGGUAUCAAACAGG
rnacentral:rRNA from 1 species